GCCCGUUAUGAGCGGUCACCGUUUUCUCCUCAGCAAAAACUGAACCGAAAUGUUCAGGACGCGACACCCGAGCCUCCGUCUGGCCUGAGGAAGCUUUCACUCCGUAGCCAUAAGGUCCUAUUGGCUUCAACUGGCCGUCUGCUGAGUGCAACUCUUUAAAAGUCUGUUGGAAUCGUUCUUAGAUCGUCCCUCGUUCCACAUGCUUGACUUCAAUGACUGACCUGCUUCCCAAGCACGCAGUCAGGUCCUUCAGGCCGCCGUUUUAGACGCCACGGCUCAAACAGACUUGGGAAUUCAGGAAAGCGACACCAGCUCUACUUCUUCGGUCUCGGGAUCCGAUGGAGGAAACGAGCAUCAUUUGGUCGCAUCACUCCCGGCGAAGCUGUACGGCAGCCAGAUACGGCAUGGCUGCGCGCCUGGGCAACAGCGGCUCUGCACCGUCGACCUCCAUCACAGACGACGGCUCGGAGAGAGAGAAAGCACGUGUGUGUUGCAGCUGACAGAUGGGCGUCUCCGCACGAAGGAGAAGAGGGAUCUCAGGGGAACGAGAGCGAAGAGGCCACAUCACACACCGCCAGCGUGUCCAAGAGCGAGAGAGCCCUGCGGCCCGUUGGGAUCCCAACAGGGUCUGAACAGAAGCACCUGAGAGGAGCACCUGGCAUAUCAAAGCAACAAAGAGAAGCAGGCUUCAAAGGGAACCGGGGGCCCGCUUGUCUCAGGGGCCUCUUGUGGGGAUCUGGCACUUCUGAGUGAGAGGAAGUCCUGGAAUGCACAAACACACCUCCGGAAAGGCCAACAUUUAUCAGUCUAUUGCCGUACCUUAUCUUCAUCCUCUGCCAGGACACUCCUGCCUUUGUAACAUUUCAAUCAGUUCCUUGGACUUGAACGACUUGAAUCGCAAUCAAAAACUGGAAAAGUCGGUGUGUUUGACGGCAUUAGGUUUCAGGGUUUGGUUUUCUUGAGUUCACACCCGACAUCAGAACCUGAAACGAAAGGCUGAUUUCCUAGUGGGAUUUUGCUCUGAGGGCCCCACAAGAAAAAACCACGGACAAAAUGACGAGAAUACAGUUGCAGCAUUG